rnacentral:rRNA from 1 species
AACGAACGCUGGCGGCGUGCUUAACACAUGCAAGUCGAACGCGAAAGUUUUCUUCGGAAAACGAGUAGAGUGGCGCACGGGUGAGUAACGCGUAAGUAAUCUACCCUGGCAUCUGGGAUAACCCACCGAAAGGUGUGCUAAUACCGGAUACGUUGAUUUAUCAAGAAAGGUGGCCUCUGAUUUAAGCUACCGUGCCGGGAGGAGCUUGCGUACCAUUAGCUAGUUGGUGGGGUAAUGGCCUACCAAGGCAACGAUGGUUAGCGGGUCUGAGAGGAUGAUCCGCCACACUGGAACUGGAACACGGACCAGACUCCUACGGGAGGCAGCAGUGAGGAAUAUUGCGCAAUGGGGGAAACCCUGACGCAGCGACGCCGCGUGGAUGAUGAAGGCCUUAGGGUCGUAAAAUCCUGUCAGAAGGGAAGAAAUGGUUUGUAGUUAAUAUCUGCAUACCUUGACGGUACCUUCAAAGGAAGCACCGGCUAACUCCG